GAGUUUGAUCCUGGCUCAGAUUGAACGCUGGCGGCAGGCCUAACACAUGCAAGUCGAGCGGAUGACGGGAGCUUGCUCCUUGAUUCAGCGGCGGACGGGUGAGUAAUGCCUAGGAAUCUGCCUGGUAGUGGGGGACAACGUUUCGAAAGGAACGCUAAUACCGCAUACGUCCUACGGGAGAAAGCAGGGGACCUUCGGGCCUUGCGCUAUCAGAUGAGCCUAGGUCGGAUUAGCUAGUUGGUGGGGUAAUGGCUCACCAAAGGCGACGAUCCGUAACUGGUCUGAGAGGAUGAUCAGUCACACUGGAACUGAGACACGGUCCAGACUCCUACGGGAGGCAGCAGUGGGGAAUAUUGGACAAUGGGCGAAAGCCUGAUCCAGCCAUGCCGCGUGUGUGAAGAAAGGUCUUCGGAUUGUAAAGCACUUUAAGUUGGGAGGAAGGGCAGUAAGUUAAUAACCUUGCUGUUUUGACGUUACCGACAGAAUAAAGCACCGGCUAAACUCUGUGCCAG
rnacentral:rRNA from 1 species